GCAGCCGGGGGGCACAAGGGACACGUGGAACCCCAAGAACCCCAAUGGAACCCCAAGAACCCCAAUGGAACCCCAAGAACCCCAAUGGAAACCCAAUAACACCAAUAGAACCCAAUGGAACCCAUUGGAACCCUAAUAAAUCCCAACGGAACCGUUCUCCAGGCUCAGGUGCAGCUUGGGGCACGUCCGCACUGCAGCCCCAUGGAGACACAAGGAACCCUGUGGAACCCGUGGAAUCCAAUGGAACCCAAAUGGAAACCCAAUAACACCAAUAGAACCCAAUGGAACCCCAUAAAUCCCAAUAGAACCACUCUCCAGGCUCAGGUGCAGCUUGGGGCACGUCCGCACUGCAGCCGGGGGGCACAGAAACCCCAGUAACACCAAUGGAGCCCAUGGAACCCCAGUAACACCAAUGGAACCCAAUGCAACCCCAUGGAACCCCAAUAAUCCCAAUGGAACCCAAUGGAACCCCAAGGAACCCCAAUAAUCCCAAUAACCCCAAUGGAACCCCAUGGAACCCCAAUAAUCCCAAUGGAGCCCCAAGAACUCCACUGGCACCCCAUAAAUCCCACCAGAACCGCUCUCCAGGCUCAGGUGCAGCCUGGGGCACGUCUGCACUGCAGCCCCGUGGAGACACAUGGAACCACAUGAAACCCCAAAACCCCAAUAACCCCGAUAGAACCCAAUGGAACCUCAAGAACCCCAAUAAUCCCAAUGGAACCCCAAGAACCUCCGAUAUCCCCCAUUAGCACCCAAUAACCCCACAAACAUCCCCCCAUGACUCACAGCACCCGCUGGGCUGCCCCAUGGCCAUCCAUGUCCCCAUAGCAGCCCCAAAUCCCCCCCUAGGACCCCAAUAUCCCCCCCCAGCCC
rnacentral:lncRNA from 1 species